rnacentral:rRNA from 1 species
UAGCAAUACGGCAGCGGCAGACGGGAGAGUAACACGUGGGAACGCGCCCUUCGGUUCGGGAUAACCCAGGGAAACUUGGGCUAAUACCGGAUACGCCCUUACGGGGAAAGAUUUAUUGCCGAAGGAACGGCCCGCGUCCGAUUAGCUAGUUGGUGAGGUAACGGCUCACCAAGGCGACGAUCGGUAGCUGGUCUGAGAGGAUGACCAGCCUCACUGGGACUGAGACACGGCCCAGACUCCUACGGGAGGCAGCAGUAGGGAAUAUUGGACAAUGGGCGCAAGCCUGAUCCAGCCAUGCCGCGUGGGUGAUGAAGGCCCUAGGG